GAACGCUGGCGGCGUGGAUUAGGCAUGCAAGUCGAACGGUAGGAUACCUUCGGGGUAUCUGAGAGUGGCGAACGGGUGAGUAACACGUAGGUGAUCUACCCUCAAGAUUGGGACAACCCAGGGAAACUUGGGCUAAUACCGGAUGAAAGCAGCAGUGAUGUUGUUUGAAAGGUGGCGUAAGCUGCCGUUUGGGGAUGAGCCUGCGCUCUAUUAGUUAGUUGGCGGGGUAAAGGCCCACCAAGGCGAUGAUAGAUAGGCGGCCUUAACGGGUGGUCGCCCACACUGGGAUUGAGAUACGGCCCAGACUCCUACGGGAGGCAGCAGUCGAGAAUAGUCUACAAUGGCCGAAAGGCUGAUAGUGCGACGCCGCGUGAACGAAGAAGCCCUUCGGGGUGUAAAGUUCUUUUAUAUGUGAGCAGUGCUUUCUAUGUGAACAGCAUGGGGAGAGAGAUAUUAGCAUAUGAAUAAGCAACGGCUAACUCCGUG
rnacentral:rRNA from 1 species